AUUGACCUCGGAUCAGGUAGGGAUACCCGCUGAACUUAAGCAUAUCAAUAAGCGGAGGAAAAGAAACCAACAGGGAUUGCCCUAGUAACGGCGAGUGAAGCGGCAACAGCUCAAAUUUGAAAUCUGGCUCCUUUGGGGUCCGAGUUGUAAUUUGUAGAGGGUGCUUUGGCGUUGGCUGUGGUCUAAGUUCCUUGGAACAGGACGUCACAGAGGGUGAGAAUCCCGUACGUGGCCGCCAGCCUCCGCCGUGUAAAGCCCCUUCGAUGAGUCGAGUUGUUUGGGAAUGCAGCUCUAAAUGGGAGGUAAAUUUCUUCUAAAGCUAAAUAUUUGCCAGAGACCGAUAGCGCACAAGUAGAGUGAUCGAAAGAUGAAAAGCACUUUGGAAAGAGAGUCAAAAAGCACGUGAAAUUGUUGAAAGGGAAGCGCUUGCAGCUAGACGUGCCUUGGGUUGAUCAGCCGGACUUUUGCCCGGUGCACUCUUCCUUUGGCAGGCCAGCAUCAGUUUGGGCGGCUGGAUAAAGGUCUGUUAAACGUGACUUCCUUCGGGGAGAGCUUAUAGGGCAGACGACAUGCAGCCAGCCUGAACUGAGGUCCGCGCAUCUGCUAGGAUGCUGGCGUAAUAGCUGUAAGCGGCCCGUCUUGAAACACGGACCAAGGAGUCUAACAUCUAUGCGAGUGUUUGGGUGUCAAGCCCGAGCGCGUAAUGAAAGUAAACGGAGGUGGGAACCCUUUGGGUGCACCAUCGACCGAUCCUGAUGUCUUCGGAUGGAUUUGAGUAAGAGCAUAGCUGUUGGGACCCGAAAGAUGGUGAACUAUGCCUGAAUAGGGUGAAGCCAGAGGAAACUCUGGUGGAGGCUCGCAGCGGUUCUGACGUGCAAAUCGAUCGUCAAAUUUGGGCAUAGGGGCGAAAGACUAAUCGAACUAUCUAGUAGCUGGUUCCUGCCGAAGUUUCCCUCAGGAA
rnacentral:rRNA from 1 species